ACGCAUUCAUCAAAACGCAAACCCUCCCAUCCUCUCCAGCGCCGCCAGCCCGCCAUCCUCCCCUUCCUCCGUCGCCUCUCUCUGCCAGCGAGCAGCUACACCUCAAGCUCGACAUCCGAUAGUCGUCCGCUCCACAACCCCGUCCCACCUCCACCUCCCCGUCCUCCUCCUCCCCGUCCUCCUCCCCUCCGCAAGACCUCUCCCCGGUCGACUGGGACCGUAGGGUGGGGCUGUAGAGGAAGAGGUCGUGCAGCUCGGAGCUUGCACUGGCGUACGGAGCGGGGGCCGGUGGCUUCGGGAUUUUGGUGUGUCCGAAUGGAGAAUCGAGGAUGGUCACCUCAUCAAGAAAAAGAAAUCGCGGGUUGAUUCAUUCUCCGUUGCCGCUUUGAUGAUUUGAUUCGGAUUCUGAGAUUUUCCUUGAUUACCGCUGGGUCUUUCUUAGUUCUGGUGUUUGGCCAAGUGAUUGGGGAUUGAUAUUGCAAAUCGAACAGAAGAACCAAGAAGGAUGAACUGUCUAGGGGCAUUUGAAGCUGCACGCUCCAAUAACUGAAAAUUGCUGUUUGACAUCUUCUCAAAUUCAAAGCAAUUGGCAUGUCAAAUUACUUCUUAACCAGGUUUGGUUCUAUUCACAUAAUGUCCCUUAUAUUCGUGUUAUGACUUUCGUCGGAUACCUUGGUUUCCUUAUAGUAGUAGCAUCCAUAGAAACAAAAUGAUUCUCACAUGUCGAUUUCAAUAUUGCACCAGAAUACAGGUUUAGUUUUUAAUUCAUGUGUUUUCAGUUUAUUUUUUAUUUUUCUACAUAUGUACAACUUAUGAUGUUAGAGCGCAUUUGUAUUGUACAUGCUUACCUAAGGUCAUAGUAGAUUUCUGUUCUCACAUGCCAGUAAUUGCACAUCAUAUGAUGUUGUGGACUACAUGAUCUAUGUGCGCCCUCCCAUGGAGUUGUGAUAGGAGCAUGGCUUGGUGCUUGGCCUAUGCCCCUUGACUUGGGAGAGACCUUGGCAGCUAAAGAUACUGAUCGUUAUUCGCAUGCAUUAUGUUGUGAACUAUGUAUGCAAAGGGCAAUUACUGUGAAAGGAAAAGGUCAUAUGGAUAUGUUUAUGCAUGUUCCGUAGAUGCUAUACAUUGUCAACUUAAAAACUAGGUUGUGCACUAUUCAGAUCUGCGACACAUGGAUUAGGCUUCCUUUUGUGAUUCUUAUAGUUGACAAUUGUGUCCGUGUCCUUGUAUCUCCGACAGUUGGAUAGCAGCUAUGCUCGAGGUAAUUAAUGCAGAUCUAUUCUGAUUUUUAAUUGUGUCUCUCAUAAGCUUAGGAUAAUUUCAGUACCCUGGCAUUGGUAAAUUACAUUUCUUAUAAACGAGUGAUCUUGAGAAGUUCAUCUCAUCUCGAACGUUUUUAAUGCACUAAACUGAUAGGGCCCAUUUUUAGUUUGCAAGUGUAGCUGGUGUUGGAACAGAACUUGCAUCUUUUUUCCAACAUAUUUGAGUCAUUUCACUUUACAUGUCCUUUUUUAGCACUUUCACUGUACAUGUCUUGUGGACUUGGAGGUGUGAAAUCAUACCUUUGAAUUAAGUUUUUACGGUUCUGAACGCAUACUCUGUACAUGGAAUCAAGUUGUUUCACAUUUUAGUUUUUCUUAUAUUUUCUAGGUUGUGUUCUACUCAUCAGCGGCAGCGUCUGUACUUUUAAAGUGUAUAGACUGCUAUUUUACACGGUACUUCUGUUCUCCAGCCUCUUGAUGUGUUCAUUCCGACAGUCCAUUUAAAAUAAUAUCUUGUCGUGAUAAGUAUUAUUCUUAUCGUGACUUUUUCAUAGGUACGCAUACCCAUUAUGCAGUUACUUUCUCGCAUCUUCUACUACGAUAAUUUGUGCUGGCUGCAAUUGUUUUUAUCUCGCAGUUUUAUUCCUGCUUUUCAGCAGUACAUAACUGAAUGCAGUUGUUUACUCCUAUUUACACAUUUGCUUGUGUUCUAUACUGAGAACCAUCCGCUACUUGCAUACUACUCACAGGUAAUGCUUUUGUGAUGUGGAUAAGCUCAAGUUGAGUUGGAGGCAUAUGCUCAACACUUUUGGUCAUCUAAUGGAAAUACACAACAGAGAAGAGCAAUUGUUCCAAAGUGAAGAUUAUGAGAGCUGUUACUGCCAGUUGGGAGCUCGCCCCAAGAGUACUUCAAAUCCUCCGCAACUGAGACGCUGCAGGUUCUGCUACACUGAGAUGUCUUCUCCCUCCCAGCUGGCAAGAAUUAGCGAGUGCUGAAUGAGAUAGCAGAAAUACUCCAGAAUUAACACUCAUAUUAUUCAAUAUCAGCACGAGAGUUCAUGUUGUGUACAGGAAUUCAGGUUCCCUUUUGCAUCCAGGAUACAAUGUUGAAGAAAUUCAUGGAGUUUUUCUUAUUGCAACGGAAUACAAUAUCAUCUCGCUACGGUCGAAGGCCACCCAAGAACCGCCCGUUCUUUUUUUGGACUAUUUUGCCCUCUCACAAAAUCCCUUUAUACUACCCUGUCAUGGUACCAGUUGUUAUACCCUGUCUCGCUACGGUCGCAGGCCACCCAAGAACCGCCCGUUCAUACUCGACACGCGUGCCAGAAGAGGCGCCGGAGGGCCCAGGCCACUCGAGAACCGCUGGUUCCUGUUCGCCAUGCGCGCGAGAAGGCCAUCCGGGAACGAUGAAGAGCGGGAGCAGGCGGCGUCCUAGCAUGAUGGCAUCGACGGGUGGCUGGAAGGAGGAGAGGCGUGACGAGGGGAUCGAGGAGGGACGAGAUGGAGACGGCAUUUGCCACCCGUUCCUGCUCGCCACACGUGCGAUAAGAGGCAUCGGAGGGUCGUCGACCUCCGGGAACUAUGAACGGAGAGAGCAUGUGGGACGGCAUCGAUAUGGCUGGGAGCUUGACUUGUGAUGCGCGUCGAGGGCGUUGUGUAGGUGUCUGAUGAUUGGGAGCGCCCACAACGAUGGCGGCGGCCGCAGGUUGCUCUCCUCAUGGCGAUGCAAGAAAGGAAGAGCUGGGAGAGAAAUUAGCUGAAGGUCAACAAUGUCUCUCGAUCUGGCAGUCUCUGACUAAACUACAGCCGCAAAGAAUUUUGGAUCCCUUCACUCAUAGUAUUUACUUCUUUGCCCUCUAGGAAGCUAGCUUUGCUAUUGAACUUCAUGUUGGUAUAGCUUUGCUAUUGAACCUCAUGUUGGUAUGGAACCAUUCUCUCAAAUAUAAGUUUCAAUUGUGAACAA